rnacentral:rRNA from 1 species
UUAAGCGACUAAGCGUACACGGUGGAUGCCCUGGCAGUCAGAGGCGAUGAAGGGCGUGCUAAUCUGCGAUAAGCGCCGGUAAGGUGAUAUGAACCGUUAUAACCGGCGAUACCCGAAUGGGGAAACCCAGUGUGAUUCGUCACACUAUCAUUAACUGAAUCCAUAGGUUAAUGAGGCGAACCGGGGGAACUGAAACAUCUAAGUACCCCGAGGAAAAGAAAUCAACCGAGAUUCCCCCAGUAGCGGCGAGCGAACGGGGAGGAGCCCAGAGCCUGAAUCAGCAUGUGUGUUAGUGGAAGCGUCUGGAAAGGCGCGCGAUACAGGGUGACAGCCCCGUACACAAAAGCGCAUGUGCUGUGAGCUCGAUGAGUAGGGCGGGACACGUGGUAUCCUGUCUGAAUAUGGGGGGACCAUCCUCCAAGGCUAAAUACUCCUGACUGACCGAUAGUGAACCAGUACCGUGAGGGAAAGGCGAAAAGAACCCCGGCGAGGGGAGUGAAAAAGAACCUGAAACCGUGUACGUACAAGCAGUGGGAGCACCCUUCGGGGUGUGACUGCGUACCUUUUGUAUAAUGGGUCAGCGACUUAUAUUCUGUAGCAAGGUUAACCGUAUAGGGGAGCCGGAGGGAAACCGAGUCUUAACCGGGCGUUAAGUUGCAGGGUAUAGACCCGAAACCCGGUGAUCUAGCCAUGGGCAGGUUGAAGGUUGGGUAACACUAACUGGAGGACCGAACCGACUAAUGUUGAAAAAUUAGCGGAUGACCUGUGGCUGGGGGUGAAAGGCCAAUCAAACCGGGAGAUAGCUGGUUCUCCCCGAAAGCUAUUUAGGUAGCGCCUCGUGAAUUCAUCUCCGGGGGUAGAGCACUGUUUCGGCUAGGGGGCCAUCCCGGCUUACCAACCCGAUGCAAACUGCGAAUACCGGAGAAUGUUAUCACGGGAGACACACGGCGGGUGCUAACGUCCGUCGUGAAGAGGGAAACAACCCAGACCGCCAGCUAAGGUCCCAAAGUCAUGGUUAAGUGGGAAACGAUGUGGGAAGGCCCAGACAGCCAGGAUGUUGGCUUAGAAGCAGCCAUCAUUUAAAGAAAGCGUAAUAGCUCACUGGUCGAGUCGGCCUGCGCGGAAGAUGUAACGGGGCUAAACCAUGCACCGAAGCUGCGGCAGCGAACGUAUCACCCAAGACAACUUUACGGAGUUGACGAUUGACGGAGCGAAGCGACGUCAAAGCGUUCAUUAAAGUCGAGUUGGCUUAGGGAUACGUUCGUUGGGUAGGGGAGCGUUCUGUAAGCCUGUGAAGGUGUGUCGUGAGGCAUGCUGGAGGUAUCAGAAGUGCGAAUGCUGACAUAAGUAACGAUAAAGCGGGUGAAAAGCCCGCUCGCCGGAAGACCAAGGGUUCCUGUCCAACGUUAAUCGGGGCAGGGUGAGUCGACCCCUAAGGCGAGGCCGAAAGGCGUAGUCGAUGGGAAACGGGUUAAUAUUCCCGUACUUGGUGUUACUGCGAAGGGGGGACGGAGAAGGCUAUGUUGGCCGGGCGACGGUUGUCCCGGUUUAAGCGUGUAGGUGUGUGUUCCAGGUAAAUCCGGUUCACUUUAACACUGAGGCGUGACGACGAGGCACUACGGUGCUGAAGCAACAAAUGCCCUGCUUCCAGGAAAAGCCUCUAAGCAUCAGGUAACACGAAAUCGUACCCCAAACCGACACAGGUGGUCAGGUAGAGAAUACCAAGGCGCUUGAGAGAACUCGGGUGAAGGAACUAGGCAAAAUGGUGCCGUAACUUCGGGAGAAGGCACGCUGACACGUAGGUGAAGUGAUUUACUCAUGGAGCUGAAGUCAGUCGAAGAUACCAGCUGGCUGCAACUGUUUAUUAAAAACACAGCACUGUGCAAACACGAAAGUGGACGUAUACGGUGUGACGCCUGCCCGGUGCCGGAAGGUUAAUUGAUGGGGUCAGCGCAAGCGAAGCUCCUGAUCGAAGCCCCGGUAAACGGCGGCCGUAACUAUAACGGUCCUAAGGUAGCGAAAUUCCUUGUCGGGUAAGUUCCGACCUGCACGAAUGGCGUAAUGAUGGCCAGGCUGUCUCCACCCGAGACUCAGUGAAAUUGAACUCGCUGUGAAGAUGCAGUGUACCCGCGGCAAGACGGAAAGACCCCGUGAACCUUUACUAUAGCUUGACACUGAACAUUGAGCCUUGAUGUGUAGGAUAGGUGGGAGGCUUUGAAGUGUGGACGCCAGUCUGCAUGGAGCCGACCUUGAAAUACCACCCUUUAAUGUUUGAUGUUCUAACGUGGACCCGUAAUCCGGGUUGCGGACAGUGUCUGGUGGGUAGUUUGACUGGGGCGGUCUCCUCCUAAAGAGUAACGGAGGAGCACGAAGGUUGGCUAAUCCUGGUCGGACAUCAGGAGGUUAGUGCAAUGGCAUAAGCCAGCUUGACUGCGAGCGUGACGGCGCGAGCAGGUGCGAAAGCAGGUCAUAGUGAUCCGGUGGUUCUGAAUGGAAGGGCCAUCGCUCAACGGAUAAAAGGGUACUCCGGGGAUAACAGGCUGAUACCGCCCAAGAGUUCAUAUCGACGGCGGUGUUUGGCACCUCGAUGUCGGCUCAUCACAUCCUGGGGCUGAAGUAGGUCCCAAGGGUAUGGCUGUUCGCCAUUUAAAGUGGUACGCGAGCUGGGUUUAGAACGUCGUGAGACAGUUCGGUCCCUAUCUGCCGUGGGCGCUGGAGAACUGAGGGGGGCUGCUCCUAGUACGAGAGGACCGGAGUGGACGCAUCACUGGUGUUCGGGUUGUCAUGCCAAUGGCACUGCCCGGUAGCUAAAUGCGGAAGAGAUAAGUGCUGAAAGCAUCUAAGCACGAAACUUGCCCCGAGAUGAGUUCUCCCUGAGACUUAGAGUCUCCUGAAGGAACGUUGAAGACGACGACGUUGAUAGGCCGGGUGUGUAAGCGCAGCGAUGCGUUGAGCUAACCGGUACUAAUGAACCGUGAGGCUUAACCUU